rnacentral:rRNA from 1 species
AGAAUCAACGCUGGCGGCGUGCCUAACACAUGCAAGUCGAACGAGAAAGUGGAGCAAUCCAUGAGUAAAGUGGCGACCGGGUGAGUAACACGUGACUAACCUGCCUUCAAGUGGGGGAUAACCUCGGGAAACCGGGCUAAUACCGCAUAACAUCUUUGGAGUGGAAAUUCUGGAGAUCAAAGGAGCAAUUCGCUGGAAGAGGGGGUCGCGGCUGAUUAGCUAGUUGGCGGGGUAAUGGCCCACCAAGGCUUUGAUCGGUA